rnacentral:rRNA from 1 species
AUUGAACGCUGGCGGCGUGCCUAACACAUGCAAGUCGAGCGGUAACAGGUGUAGCAAUACAUGCUGACGAGCGGCGAACGGGUGAGUAAUGCUUUGGAAUCUUCCCAGUAGUGGGGAAUAACCAGUCGAAAGAUUGGCUAAUACCGCAUACGUCUGUAAAGGGAAAGCGGGGGACUCGCCUCUUCUUCGGAAGAGAGGCCUCGCGCUAUUGGAUGAGCCAAAGCGGAUUAGCUAGUUGGUGGGGUAAUGGCCUACCAAGGCGACAAUCCGUAGCCGGUCUGAGAGGACGACCAGCCACACCGGAACUGAGACACGGUCCGGACCUCCG